AUUGAACGCUGGCGGCAGGCCUAACACAUGCAAGUCGAACGGUAGCACAGAGAGCUUGCUCUCGGGUGACGAGUGGCGGACGGGUGAGUAAUGUCUGGGAAACUGCCCGAUGGAGGGGGAUAACUACUGGAAACGGUAGCUAAUACCGCAUAACGUCGCAAGACCAAAGUGGGGGACCUUCGGGCCUCACACCAUCGGAUGUGCCCAGAGGGGAUUAGCUAGUAGGCGGGGUAAUGGCUCACCUAGGCGACGAUCCCUAGCUGGUCUGAGAGGAUGACCAGCCACACUGGAACUGAGACACGGUCCAGACUCCUACGGGAGGCAGCAGUGGGGAAUAUUGCACACUGGGCGCAAGCCUGAUGCAGCCAUGCCGCGUGUAUGAAGAAGGCCUUCGGGUUGUAAAGUACUUUCAGCGGGGAGGAAGGCGGUGAAGUUAAUAACUUCACCGAUUGACGUUACCCGCAGAAGAAGCACCGGCUAACUCCGUGCCAGCCGCCGCCGUAA
rnacentral:rRNA from 1 species